GAAGCGAACAUAGUUAUUAUUACAUAUGUGACGUAACACACUUUAGCUAGUGUUACACCCUAGAAAGAAAAGUUCAACAACUGGUAAAGAAUCAAGCCAACUGCUAGUCUAAUAAACCGAAGAACAACUACUCAGCACAGCCUACAUUUCAGCAACCACAGCAACCUCUUUUACGAUCGAAAAAGGCUUUCAACGCGUAUAUUGCUUGAAGAUCACAGACAAACAACCAGUAGGCAGUUGUAAUGGAAAAGUAGAAGCCUGAAAACACAUCAGGAUCAAAGGAGAAUCUCACCUCUUCUGAAAAACACUCUAAAACCAAAGAGGAUAACCUAUCUACACAGUGAUCUGUCAGCCAGCAGUGACAGUCUCUCAGACAAAACAUCAAAGAACAAACUGGUUGGAGCCAUGAACAAGCUGAAUCCUUUUAAAUCAACUCCCAAAGUAAGACGACAUAGCUGUUGUACUAGCCAAUGAGAUUACACUAAUAAGAUCCCUCCAGAAAAAAAUAGAUUUCACUUGUAGAAAAUCACAUGAUUUCGCAUGAAAUUCAUGUGGUUUUUCCAUAGGUUGUGCUUAUUUUCUUUCACUAUCAUAUGACAGUUUGAACUAUGACGAUAGAGUAAUUACAUUUAUAACGAUGCUUGAGACUGAUAGUUUGAGCUGAAUAUGGUGGCAACAUCUACAGCCCGAGAACAAACAUACUGAACAAAAUAUAAAUGCAACAUGCAACAAUUUCUAUGAUUUUACUGAGUUACAGUUUAUAUAAGGAAAUUAGUCCAUUUAAAUAAAUAAAUUAGGCCCGAAUCCAUAGAUUUCACAUGACUGGGGAUACAGAUAUGCAUCUGGUGGUCACAAAAAUGUGUCAACUAACUUUUUGUCCUGAAUAAGAAGUCUUAUGUUUGGGGCAAAUUAAAUACAAUACAUUACUGAGUACCGCUCUCCAUAUUUUCAAGCAUAAUGGUGGCUGCAUCAUGUUACUGGUAUGCUUGUAAUCGUUAAGGGCAGGGGAGUUUUUCAGGAUAAACAAAUAAAUGGAAUGGAGCUAAGCACAGGCAAAAUCCUAGAGGAAACCUGGUUGUCUGCUUUCCACCAGACACUGGGAGAUACAUGUACUUUUCAGCAGGAUAAUAACCUAAAACACAAGGCCAAAUCUACAGUGGAGUUGCUUACCAAGAAGACAGUGAAUGUUUGAGUGGCAGAGUUAGUUUUGACAUAAAUCUGCUUGAAAAACUAUGGCAAGACUUAAAUGAUUGUCUAGCAAUAAUCAACCAAUUUAACAGAACUUGAAGAACUUUGAAAAGAAUAACGGGCAAAUAUUGUACAAUCCAGGUGUGCAAGGCUCUUAGAGACUUACCCAGAAAGAUUCACAGCUGUAAUCACUGCCAAAGGUGACUCUAACAUGUAUUUACUCAGGGGUGUGAAUACUUAUGUAAAUUAUAUUUCUUUUUCAUUUUCAAUAAAUUAGCUAACAUUUCUAAAAACAUGUUUUCACUUUGUCAUGAUGCGUUUUUGUGUGUAUAUAAAAAAAAAGGUUUUAAUCCAUUUUGAAUUCAGGCUGUAACACAACAAAAUGUGGAGUAAGUCAAGGGUUAUGAAUACUUUCUGAAGGCACUAUAUAAGGAACCAGGAUCAGAUGUUGAAGAGCCACCUGCCACCACAGAAAAGCUUCCCAACCACAGACAUUCCUAUGAUUAUGAUGGCGUGAUGUUUUCCCGUCUGGAUUACUGCAACUCGCUGUUGGCUGGGCUCCCUGCCUGUGCCAUUAAACCCCUACAACUCAUCCAGAACGCCGCAGCCCGUCUGGUGUUCAACCUUCCCAAGUUCUCUCACGUCACCCCGCUCCUCCGCUCUCUCCACUGGCUUCCAGUUGAAGCUCGCAUCCGCUACAAGACCAUGGUGCUUGCCUACGGAGCUGUGAGGGGAACAGCACCUCAGUACCUCCAGGCUCUGAUCAGGCCCUUACACCCAAACAAGGGCACUGCGUUCAUCCACCUCUGGCCUGCUCGCCUCCCUACCACUGAGGAAGUACAGUUCCCGCUCAGC